rnacentral:rRNA from 1 species
GAUGAACGCUGGCGGCGUGCCUAAUACAUGCAAGUCGAGCGAACAGACGAGGAGCUUGCUCCUCUGACGUUAGCGGCGGACGGGUGAGUAACACGUGGAUAACCUACCUAUAAGACUGGGAUAACUUCGGGAAACCGGAGCUAAUACCGGAUAAUAUAUUGAACCGCAUGGUUCAAUAGUGAAAGACGGUUUUGCUGUCACUUAUAGAUGGAUCCGCGCCGCAUUAGCUAGUUGGUAAGGUAACGGCUUACCAAGGCAACGAUGCGUAGCCGACCUGAGAGGGUGAUCGGCCACACUGGAACUGAGACACGGUCCAGACUCCUACGGGAGGCAGCAGUAGGGAAUAUUCCGCAAUGGGCGAAAGCCUGACGGAGCAACGCCGCGUGAGUGAAGAAGGUCUUCGGAUCGUAAAACUCUGUUAUUAGGGAAGAACAAAUGUGUAAGUAACUAUGCACGUCUUGACGGUACCUAAUCAGAAAGCCACGGCUAACUACGUG